CAUUCAGUGCUUCAUGCAAGAUGGAUCUGCAAGUGUCAGUUUUUCUUCUUUUUGUCGCCUUUACUUCAGGACACUCUCUCAGCUGUUACCAGUGUGGCAGUGUGAUGGGUGUAUGUAUAUUUCCAUCAGAAAUAACCUGUCCCAGUGGAAAGUCUAUGUGUGAGAGUGUCACAUUGGUCAGCAACCUUGGUCUUAAAAUGAAGGGUAAAGAUUGUUCUGCUGAUUGUGAAGUUGGGACCAUAAACUUUGGCGUUUCACAGAUGUCUUCUACAUGCUGUAACAGUGACCGGUGCAACAAAGAAGAUG